ACGUACUAUAAACUUAAAUAACGUCCAAGUUAACAACAUUGAUCCGAUAAAAUAACACCAAACAAUGUUCUCGAACUCCAAAUAAAAUACUUUCCAUUCUUUGGUUUUCAUUAUAUUCGGAACGGCGUAAAUUAAGUUGUCUUCGAUGAAACGUGUGGUUAUAUCGAAUUUCCUCGAAGCUAUAACGACAGGUUGUUGUGCUGAUUCUACAGGCCUUGCAUGCAAUUAGAAGCUGUUGUGGAAACUACCUUAGCUAAAUUAACCAUGUAACUAUGACAGGACAUAUUAUUCACGAUGAUGGUGGUAUUUUAUUUUCAGACAGGACCUGCUGCAGUGCUAUCCUUAUUUGCUAGAUGAUUUGAGAGGAGUUAUUAGAAAAAGAAUUUGAUAUUUCUUUCAAAAACGACUUUAUUAUUGUGAAAAUUCAGAUGGGGAUCACUUUUUUUUAUUCGGGGUGAUAUUCUUUAAUGACUGGGUGCAGAGGCACUUUAACCAAAUUAAAAAUACAAAAA